rnacentral:rRNA from 1 species
AAUGAACGCUGGCGGCGUGCUUAACACAUGCAAGUCGAGCGAGAAAGUCUCUUCGGAGACAAGUAAAGCGGCGGACGAGUGAGUAAUACGUGAGAACCUACCCUUUAGUGAGGAAUACCCUCGAGAAAUUGAGGCUAAUACUGCAUAAGUCCCUACGGGGAGAAAGGCAACUUCAUGUUGUCGCUAAUGGAUGGGCUUGCGGGCUAUCAGCUAGUUGGUGAGGUAAUGGCUCACCAAGGCUAUGACGGCUAACCGGCCUGAGAGGGUGUACGGUCACGUUGGAACUGAGAUACGGUCCAAACUCCUACGGGAGGGCAGCAGUGAGGAAUAUUGCGCAAUGGGCGAAAGCCUGACGCAGCGACGCCGCGUGGAGGGUGAAGGUCUUCGGAUUGUAAACUCCUGUCAAG